UGAGGAACAUGACCUUCGGCGGGGGAUAGCCGGCCCAACGGCCGGGUAAUACCGCGUACGACCAUUUAGGGACAUCCCUGAUUGGUGAAAGCAGCAAUGCGCCGAAAGAGUGCCUCGCGGCCUAUCAGCUAGUUGGUGGGGUAAUGGCUCACCAAGGCAACGACGGGUAGCUGGU
rnacentral:rRNA from 1 species